GGAGGAUGCGAGCGUUAUCCGGAUUUAUUGGGUUUAAAGGGUGCGCAGGCGGUCUGUUAAGUCAGCGGUCAAAGCCCGGGGCUCAACCCCGGCCCGCCGUUGAAACUGGCAGUCUCGAGUUGGAGAGAAGUAUGCGGAAUGCGCGGUGUAGCGGUGAAAUGCAUAGAUAUCGCGCAGAACUCCGAUUGCGAAGGCAGCAUGCCGGCUCCACACUGACGCUGAGGCACGAAAGCGUGGGUAUCGAAC
rnacentral:rRNA from 1 species